rnacentral:rRNA from 1 species
UGUGGAAGCACGGUGACGUGUGAAGCUGACCAAUACUAAUUGCUCGUGAGGCUUGACUAUACAACACCCAAACAGUUG